UACGGAGGGUGCGAGCGUUGUCCGGAAUCACUGGGCGUAAAGGGCGCGUAGGCGGCGCGAGCAGUUUGUGGUGAAAGCUUGAGGCUCAACUUCGGGUCGGCCACGGAUAUUCUCGGGCUCGAGUGUGGUAGAGGCCAAUGGAAUUCCGGGUGUAGCGGUGGAAUGCGUAGAGAUUUGGAAGAACAUUGGUGGUGAAGGUGGUUGGCUGGGCCAUUACUGACGCUGAGGUGCGACAGCGUGGGGAGCAAACAGG
rnacentral:rRNA from 1 species